UACGUAGGGACCAAGCGUUGUUCGGAUUUACUGGGCGUAAAGAGCGCGCAGGCGGCUGGUCAAGUCCGAUGUGAAAGCUCCCGGCUUAACUGGGAAAUUGCAUCGGAAACUGAUCGGCUGGAAGGUGGGAGAGGGUAGCGGAAUUCCCGGUGUAGUGGUGAAAUGCGUAGAUAUCGGGAGGAACACCAGUGGCGAAAGCGGCUACCUGGCCCAUUCUUGACGCUGAGGCGCGAAAGCUAGGGGAGCAAACGGG
rnacentral:rRNA from 1 species